rnacentral:lncRNA from 1 species
CAAAGACUCCCAAACUGCCUUUCCUCACAGAACUGUAACUCUGAAGGAAAUUGCAUGACAGGAAUAUAUUUAUGGCUACACUCCAAAGAUAGUCUUCUAUUUUCUGUCGUUCCUCUGGAUUUCUAUUUCAACUUUAAUGGGUUACUGUGAAACGGCAAUGUGGCUCUUAGUUUGCAAGAAUGGAGUGCAGACAGUGUUGCCUCAUGAAAGGUUACAGCACAUUUCCAGUGUGUCACAGUCUCUCUGGUCAAGGAGGCUCUGAAUUAAUCUGGCGCUGGCUGCUGCUCACUAGAGCAGCAUUCACAAUGUGGCUAAAGAGGAUAUUUGCAAGAUACGCUUACUUGUCCUCUGUUUCAGAUUGACAGAAGGAACAAUCUCCUAACCAUCUAUGGAAAGACUAAUCUUAUCUCACAGAGUCGUAACACCUUCAGGGUAGAAGAUACAACACACUUUGUUCUACAAAUGAGGAAAGUGAGGCCUAGGAGCUGUGUGUGCAGCCAAGCAGUGAGGAAGACCAAACUACACCUCCCAUCAAAUCAGAGUCAGUCAAUAAUGAUUUAAACCAAAAAGAAGUAUUGUCUGGGGAAACAGAAAAAUAAAAUUCACUCUCAGAAAUAUAAAUCACAAGUUGAAUGACAAACUUUUAUCACCAAUAAAAGAUUAAGAAAAAUAUAUUCAGC